UCCAACUUUUUAGAGUUAUCAUAAAACCGAAUUGAAAUACUUUCGCUUGCAAGUCGAAUAAACCUCGUCUCUCACGAGCCUAUAUCCUAUAGUCCAACCGGCCUAAGGUUUGCUAGGUCCACUAAGACUCAACCCUAGGCUCUGAUACCAAAUUAAUCUGUCACGUCCCGGUGACGGCAGAGGCCCUCUCGGUAGCGCGCCCAGACCCGCCAUAUGUCUACACAUAUAAGGCGUCUACAACAAUAGCGAAAAAUAAAGCAAGAGAUGAUCUACAACUAGAGAUAUCAGAGCAAG
rnacentral:lncRNA from 1 species